UACGUAGGGGGCAAGCGUUGUCCGGAUUCAUUGGGCGUAAAGAGCGCGCAGGCGGCUUGGUAAGUCGGAUGUUGAAAUCCCGAGGCUCAACCUCGGGUCUGCAUCCGAUACUGCCCGGCUAGAGGUAGGUAGGGGAGAUCGGAAUUCCUGGUGUAGCGGUGAAAUGCGCAGAUAUCAGGAGGAACACCGGUGGCGAAAGCGGCUCACUGGAUCUCUUCUGACGCUGAGGCACGAAAGCUAGGGUAGCGAACGGG
rnacentral:rRNA from 1 species